UGGCUUCUCUUGUCGGGACACCACUGCAGGGGAGGCCCUUUCCUGGGCCAUCACCACACAAUAAGGUACAUCUUUUGGUGGGACAGCCAUCCUUGUUUUGUUCCAGCUCUUUUUUUUACAGACUUCACAGAGCUACCUGUGCCUGAAGCAAAUCUGCUCCAUUGACAAAAGGCAAUGUCAGAGCUCUUGAUACAUCAAGUGAACAUGUGCAAUGUAGGAUUGAGAGACACCUGCAUCUUGACUGCGCUGCUUUAGUUCUGUCCAAGAGCCCACCACACUCAGGUGAAGCCAGCUCUUCCUGCAGAAGUCAGACCAGCAGAAGGAACUUCCAGGCCCAUGAAU